GGUGGUGCAUGGUUGUCGUCAGCUCGUGUCGUGAGAUGUUGGGUUAAGUCCCGCAACGAGCGCAACCCCUAUCCUUAGUUGCCAGCAUUGAGUUGGGCACUCUAGGGAGACUGCCGGUGACAAACCGGAGGAAGGUGGGGAUGACGUCAAAUCAUCAUGCCCCUUAUGAGUUGGGCUACACACGUGCUACAAUGGACGGUACAAAGGGCAGCGAGACCGCGAGGUGGAGCCAAUCCCAUAAAGCCGUUCCCAGUUCGGAUUGCAGGCUGCAACUCGCCUGCAUGAAGUCGGAAUCGCUAGUAAUCGCAGGUCAGCAUACUGCGGUGAAUACGUUCCCGGGUCUUGUACACACCGCCCGUCACACCACGAGAGUUUGCAACACCCGAAGCCGGUGAGUAAC
rnacentral:rRNA from 1 species